rnacentral:rRNA from 1 species
CAAUGACGUUUUUGGGCUUCCCCCAUUUUUGGGCUGGUCCGCCGGAGGGGAAGAGCCAGAUCGUUGUCCGUGCUAGCGACAAGUUUAUCUGACGUGGGAUGGUUCGGGCUAGAGGGGUACUUCUACCGAACGAGUUCGUUCGUUCCAGCGACUCUCCCAGCACGAACGACUCGUUCGGGCUGGGGUAUCCCCAGGCCGAUCGUUCGGCAGUUAUCGAUGUCCAAGAUCAUGGCUAUGGAGAUUAGGAUCACCAGAGACGAGGAAGGAAUUGGAGUUCUUAUCGGAUCUAGUUGACAGAUUUCCCCUGCCGGAUCUGGCCGGCGACGAGCUGCCGGUAGAGCACGACAGAAGCCAGGCUGUAAUAUGUGGACCUGCGGACUCAAGCAUUGGCGAAGCAGGAGAUGCCAUGGCAGUAGUGGAAACAGAUUUGAAUAGCACUUGUCAGGGGGUUGCCCUGUCGGCGCCGGCGUCCGAGCAAUCUACAGGGAAGGACGACCCUGAAGCCCCUGGCUGGACGCGAAGAAUCCGUGUUGGGCGUGUGCCUGAUGAAUGGCCCCCAUGUGCUGCCAGGAUGAGUGCAUUGGAGCUAACAAUACGAAGCUAUGCAGAGAAAAAAAACUGAAACUGUGAUAGUUCCUGCUAUGGGAGCCAGUUUCGAUACGCUGGGGAAGCUUACGACUACUACAAUCUAUAUUCAUGAGAGGUUGGGUUCGGAGUGAGAUACGGCAAGAGCCAUCUAAAUGUUGAGAGAACAAAAUGCAUGCAGGAGAUAGUUUGCACACACAAAAUGCAUGCAGGAUACGGUAAAAGAAAUUGUUCCAGCAAUUGCACACACAAGCGGGAAUGUUAGUGAUGCAGAAGGCAGUGCUAUCGGGGAUUUCAUAGGACUGAAACCACCUGAGCGGAAAAGGAAAGCCGCGCGACCAACAAAUAGCAGAGAUAAGCCUCCGUAUGAUGACCGGGGUGCAAAAAGCAAAAGGAUGAAGCAACGCACAGCUGCUGAAGAUGUCGAUAGGUGUGGCACGAGCAAACGACUCGCUUCUGCAGCAUAUGCCGAGAACCUGGUCACAAGAGCACAACUUGUCCGCGACGAGGAGGUCUUCCACCGAAGGAAAGGAACGAGGCUAAAUGCUCUAUAUGUGGUGUCGGUGGCCACAGGAGAAACACCUGCAACAAGCCAAAGGUUGUUCUAUAUGUUGCUGGGACAACUAACGUGGACACGAAUGCACUCACCAGUCUGAUUUGAGAUCGUCUGUUCAAUCUGUGUAAUAGACCUGUUCUUGAGGGCUCCGCAGCCGAUAAUUGAUAAAUCUGUGUAAUAACAUGCUGCGUCGAUCUCUGUGUGCCAUCUCUUGUGUUUGCACC